UACGGAAGGUCCGGGCGUUAUCCGGAUUUAUUGGGUUUAAAGGGAGCGCAGGCCGCCGUGCAAGCGUGCCGUGAAAAGCAGCGGCCCAACCGCUGCCCUGCGGCGCGAACUGCCUGGCUUGAGUGCGCCGGAAGCGGGCGGAAUUCGUGGUGUAGCGGUGAAAUGCUUAGAUAUCACGAAGAACCCCGAUUGCGAAGGCAGCCCGCUGUGGCGCCACUGACGCUGAGGCUCGAAGGUGCGGGUAUCGAACAGG
rnacentral:rRNA from 1 species